AAGACCUAUAUCAGGGCUGUCCAACCUACGCCCCCCCCCCAGAUGUUGCUGAACUACAACUCCCAUGAUUCUUUCAAUUAAAAAGAUAGCCAGGUAAUCAUGGGAGUUGUAGUUCAGCCACUUCUGAGGGGCCGCAUGUUGGACAGCCCUGACCUACGUCUA